UACGUAGGGUGCAAGCGUUGUCCGGAAUUAUUGGGCGUAAAGAGCUCGUAGGCGGUUUGUCGCGUCUGCUGUGAAAACCCGAGGCUCAACCUCGGACCUGCAGUGGGUACGGGCAGACUAGAGUGCGGUAGGGGAGAUUGGAAUUCCUGGUGUAGCGGUGGAAUGCGCAGAUAUCAGGAGGAACACCAAUGGCGAAGGCAGAUCUCUGGGCCGUAACUGACGCUGAGGAGCGAAAGCAUGGGGAGCGAACAGG
rnacentral:rRNA from 1 species